rnacentral:rRNA from 1 species
AGAGUUUGAUCCUGGCUCAGAACGAACGCUGGCGGCAGGCCUCAAACAUGCAAGUCUAGGGGUGUAGCAAUACACACCGGCGGACGGGUGCGUAACACGUGGGAAUGUACCUACUGGUUCGGAACAACUGAGGGAAACUUCAGCUAAUACCGAAUGUGUCCUUACGGAGAAAGAUUUAUCGCCAGUAGAUCAGCCCGCGUCCGAUUAGCUAGUUGGUGGGGUAAAAGCUCACCAAGGCGACGAUCGGUAGCUGUUCUGAGAGGAAGAUCAGCCACACUGGGACUGAGACACGGCCCAGACUCCUACGGGAGGCAGCAGUUGGGAAUCUUGGACAAUGGGGGAAACCCUGAUCCAGCCAUGCCGCGUGAGUGAUGAAGGCCUUCGGGUUGUAAAACUCUUUCGACGGGGACGAUAAUGACGGUACCCGUAGAAGAGUC